UACAGAGGGUGCAAGCGUUAAUCGGAAUUACUGGGCGUAAAGCGUGCGUAGACGGUAGCGUAAGUCGGGUGUGAAAGCCCCGGGCUCAACCUGGGAAUUGCAUUCGAGACUGCUCUGCUAGGGUGCGGAAGAGGGGAGCGGAAUUUCCGGUGUAGCGGUGAAAUGCGUAGAUAUCGGAAGGAACACCAGUGGCGAAAGCGGCUCCCUGGUCCGGCACCGACGUUCAGGCACGAAAGCGUGGGGAGCAAACAGG
rnacentral:rRNA from 1 species